rnacentral:rRNA from 1 species
GAUGAACGCUGGCGGCGUGCCUAAUACAUGCAAGUCGAGCGAACUGAUUAGAAGCUUGCUUCUAUGACGUUAGCGGCGGACGGGUGAGUAACACGUGGGCAACCUGCCUGUAAGACUGGGAUAACUUCGGGAAACCGAAGCUAAUACCGGAUAGGAUCUUCUCCUUCAUGGGAGAUGAUUGAAAGAUGGUUUCGGCUAUCACUUACAGAUGGGCCCGCGGUGCAUUAGCUAGUUGGUGAGGUAACGGCUCACCAAGGCAACGAUGCAUAGCCGACCUGAGAGGGUGAUCGGCCACACUGGGACUGAGACACGGCCCAGACUCCUACGGGAGGCAGCAGUAGGGAAUCUUCCGCAAUGGACGAAAGUCUGACGGAGCAACGCCGCGUGAGUGAUGAAGGCUUUCGGGUCGUAAAACUCUGUUGUUAGGGAAGAACAAGUACGAGAGUAACUGCUCGUACCUUGACGGUACCUAACCAGAAAGCCACGGCCAACUACGUGCCAGCCGCCGCGGUAACAC